AUGAAUAUCACUCACAUUGGUAGCUCAAUUGUUAAAAACCCCAUGAAAAAUUUGCACUUGAAAGAUGUCUUGCAUGUCCCUCAAACAUCAAAAAAUCUUGUUUCCGUUCAUCGUUUCACCCUUGAUAACAAUGUUCUCAUAGACUUCUACCCUUAUUUUUUCUUGGUUAAGGAUUUGAGAAUAAGGAGAAUCAUUCUUAGAGGACAGUGCGUGGGAGGCCUCUACCCAUUCAUAUCAUCGUCAUCAUCUUCAUGGUCCAACAAACAAGCCAACAUUGUCACCAAGCCAUCAUCAUCAAGGUGUCAUAGUCGUUUAGGUCAUCCAUCUUCAGUCAUAGCUAAAUACGUUCUUAGCAAAAAUAAACUCUCUUAUGAGAAUAGUGUUGAGUCAGCUUGUGAUCCGUGUCAACAAGCAAAAAGUCAUCAAUUACCUUAUCCCAUCUCUACUAGUGUGUCUACUGCUCCCCUACAACUUAUAUUUUCCGAUGUAUGGGGGCCAGCCCCUACUUCAGUUGGGAGAUUUUCCUAUUAUGUAAGCUUUAUUGAUGACUAUAGUAAAUUUACUUGG
rnacentral:rRNA from 1 species